rnacentral:rRNA from 1 species
UGCAAGUCGAGCGGAACGAGUUAUCUGAACCUUCGGGGAACGAUAACGGCGUCGAGCGGCGGACGGGUGAGUAAUGCCUAGGAAAUUGCCCUGAUGUGGGGGAUAACCAUUGGAAACGAUGGCUAAUACCGCAUAAUGCCUACGGGCCAAAGAGGGGGACCUUCGGGCCUCUCGCGUCAGGAUAUGCCUAGGUGGGAUUAGCUAGUUGGUGAGGUAAUGGCUCACCAAGGCGACGAUCCCUAGCUGGUCUGAGAGGAUGAUCAGCCACACUGGAACUGAGACACGGUCCAGACUCCUACGGGAGGCAGCAGUGGGGAAUAUUGCACAAUGGGCGCAAGCCUGAUGCAGCCAUGCCGCGUGUGUGAAGAAGGCCUUCGGGUUGUAAAGCACUUUCAGUCGUGAGGAAGGUAGUGUAGUUAAUAGCUGCAUUAUUUGACGUUAGCGACAGAAGAAGCACCGGCUAACUCCGUGCCAGCAGCCGCGGUAAUACGGAGGGUGCGAGCGUUAAUCGGAAUUACUGGGCGUAAAGCGCAUGCAGGUGGUUUGUUAAGUCAGAUGUGAAAGCCCGGGGCUCAACCUCGGAAUAGCAUUUGAAACUGGCAGACUAGAGUACUGUAGAGGGGGGUAGAAUUUCAGGUGUAGCGGUGAAAUGCGUAGAGAUCUGAA